UUGCUUCAUAAUUUUAACGAGUUUUUUGCAUGUUAAUUUUGGUCCCUAUUAUAUUUUAUUAUGCUGACUUCCACCGAGCAACGGUAAAAAAGUUCCGAAACCAAAACAUAGAUGAAGAUCAGUUGCAUUGAGAACAAGUCGAUCGAUUUAGUGACAACACUCAUCCAGCCGCUAUUUUGAUUUCAUUUUUGCCGCGGCGUCAUUUGGCCGAGUGCGUUUUGAGAAAGCGCGUGGCUUUUUUCUGUGUCCACCGGACAACCAGCACAAAAACUUAAUGGGCUUGACGAAAAAAAGAAAAAUCAUGACGCUGUAGAAAAAGCAUUAAGCAGACCCGGAGAAAUUAGCUGAGCGAAAGAAAAAAAAAGGAAAAACUACCAUAAGAAAAAAAAACUAAUUUCAA